GAGGCUUUAGCUUAAUAAAAGUACCUGAGUUGCAUUCAGGAGAUGCGGGAUAAAGUCCUGUAAGUCUUA
rnacentral:tRNA from 1 species